GCGGAUGUAGAUGAAUGGUAAAUUCAUUAAUUUUCCAAAUUAAUAUUUGAGGGUUCGAAUCCCUCUAUCCGCU
rnacentral:tRNA from 1 species